GAUGAACGCUGGCGGCGUGCCUAAUACAUGCAAGUCGAGCGAACAGACGAGGAGCUUGCUCCUCUGACGUUAGCGGCGGACGGGUGAGUAACACGUGGAUAACCUACCUAUAAGACUGGGAUAACUUCGGGAAACCGGAGCUAAUACCGGAUAAUAUAUUUAACCGCAUGGUUCAAUAGUGAAAGACGGUUUUGCUGUCACUUAUAGAUGGAUCCGCGCCGCAUUAGCUAGUUGGUAAGGUAACGGCUUACCAAGGCAACGAUGCGUAGCCGACCUGAGAGGGUGAUCGGCCACACUGGAGCUGAGACACGGUCCAGACGCCUACGGGAGGCAGCAGUAGGGAAUCUUCCGCAGUGGGCGAAAGCCUGACGGAGCAACGCCGCGUGAGUGAUGAAGGUCUUCGGAUCGUAAAGCUCUGUUAUUAGGGAAGAACAAAUGUGUAAGUAACUAUGCACGUCUUGACGGUACCUAAUCAGAAAGCCACGGCUAACUACGUG
rnacentral:rRNA from 1 species